UGGCUCUACCUACGGCUUCACGGCCUCCGGAGCCGUAGGUCGUGGGUUCAAAUCCCACCGGGCCCGCCA
rnacentral:tRNA from 1 species